AACGAACGCUGGCGGCAGGCUUAACACAUGCAAGUCGAACGGUUGUAGCAAUACAGCAGUGGCAGACGGGUGAGUAACACGUGGGAACCUUCCUAGGGGUACGGAACAACUCAGGGAAACUUGAGCUAAUACCGUAUACGUCCGUGAGGAGAAAGAUUUUAUCGCCCUUAGACGGGCCCGCGUCGGAUUAGCUAGUUGGUGGGGUAACGGCCUACCAAGGCGACGAUCCGUAGCUGAUCUUAGAGGAUGAUCAGCCACACUGGGACUGAGACACGGCCCAGACUCCUACGGGAGGCAGCAGUGGGGAAUCUUGGACAAUGGGCGC
rnacentral:rRNA from 1 species